UGUUCGCCAGGGAACUACGAGCGCUAGCUUAAAACCCAAGAGACUUGGCGGUGCUUAAGACCCACCUAGAGGAGCCUGUCCUAUAACCGAUAACCCCCGUUAAACCUCACCUUCUUUUGUUUUUACCGCCUAUAUACCGCCGUCGUCAGUUUACCCUGUGAAGGAUCUAUAGUAAGCGCAACCGGUUUUACCCAAAACGUCAGGUCGAGGUGUAGCGAAUAAGAAGGGAAGAGAUGGGCUACAUUCCCUACUUAUAGGGCAUACGAAUAGCAUGUUGAAAAACAUGCCUGAAGGAGGAUUUAGCAGUAAGUAGUAAAUAGAGCGUACUACUGAAGCUGGCUCUAAAGCGCGUACACACCGCCCGU
rnacentral:rRNA from 1 species